GCGUUGUUCGGAAUUACUGGGCGUAAAGGGCGCGUAGGCGGCCCGCUAAGUCGAACGUGAAAUCCCCGAGCUCAACUCGGGAACUGCGUCCGAUACUGGCGGGCUUGAAUCCGGGAGAGGGAUGCGGAAUUCCAGGUGUAGCGGUGAAAUGCGUAGAUAUCUGGAGGAACACCGGUGGCGAAGGCGGCAUCCUGGACCGGCAUUGACGCUGAGGCGCGAAAGCUAGGGGAGCAAACGGG
rnacentral:rRNA from 1 species